CCUACGGGUGGCAGCAGUGGGGAAUAUUGCACAAUGGGGGCAACCCUGAUGCAGCGACGCCGCGUGAGUGAAGAAGUAUUUCGGUAUGUAAAGCUCUAUCAGCAGGGAAGAAAUAGCGACCUUUGGUUCGCCAUACGGUACCUGAUUAAGAAGCCCCGGCUAACUACGUGCCAGCAGCCGCGGUAAUACGUGGGGGGCAAGCGUUAUCGGGAUUUACUGGGUGUAAGGGAGCGUAGACGGCAGCGCAAGUCUGAAGUGAAAUGCCGGGGCUUAACCCCGGAACUGCUUUGGAUACUGUGAAGCUAGAGUGCAGGAGAGGUAAGUGGAAUUCCUAGUGUAGCGGUGAAAUGCGUAGAUAUGAGGAGGAACACCAGUGGCGAAGGCAGCUUACUGGACUGUAACUGACGUUGAGGCUCGAAAGCGUGGGGAGCAAACAGGAUUAGAUACCCGAGUAGUC
rnacentral:rRNA from 1 species